CAAGGCGCCCUUGAUCUUAAUAAUCCAGCUUCUUGAAAUCAUCAAGUGGAGGUCUUGAUGAAUUUGACCCAUGUGGUUCAAUUUCAGUUGCUCCAACUACUGCUCCUGCUUCAGCAAUUGUGUCCCUGCUACUGUUGUUCCUUCUGCUUCGAUCAAUGUUGAAAUAAACUUGUUGAAUGUUCUGUUUGAUGCGUUUGCUAUACACUUGAAAACCAUGCUACUGAUUCUGAUGCCCGUGCCAACUCUUGUGCUAUGACCAACUUUGCUACUAAUCAGCCAUCAUCUAAUUUUGGAAAUCAGUGUUUUGAUGAUUCCUCUGGUGAUGACCCUUUUAAACUUGUCCCUUCAUCUGAUGUUAUCUCAGCUGCGUAACAAUUCUACUUGCAUGCCUACUUUUCGGGUUGCAACAAAUCAAAAUGCGGUAGUUCCUCAGCCCAUUUCUACAAUGCGCAACCGUUAACCUUACUCCUACUUAUAAGGUAACCUGUUAAAAAUAACAAGGCCUAUAACAUUACUCUUACUUAUAAGAUAAUUGGUAAAAAACAAAACAUGGCGCAACCAUAAAUGUUACUCAUACUUAUAAGGUAAUUGGUUAAAAAUAA